CAAUUUCACUCUCUGUUCACUCUCUAUGAUGCCAUCGAUUUCUCUAGCCCGAUUUCUGCAUCAAUUUCUCUUGCCUAGUCACCUCAGCCCUCAGGUAUGUUUCUCUAACCCGAUUUUUGCAUUAAUUUAUGUCUUUUCUUCUGCAAGUCACCUCUGUUAGCAUUGAUGAAUGAAUUAUUGGGGAACAAAAAAUAUAGCAGUACAAAAGAAUCACUAGGGACAGGCGAUUACCCAACACUUUCACAAGUUUUUCAAAAUAACAAGCACAAACAUGAUUUUCAUAUAACUUAAAAAAACAAUAUUACCAAACACAUUUAACUUGAGAAGAGAAAAGAAUUCAUGCAAUCCCAGUACCUUAUGAUUUGAAGAAGCCAGGUUUGAAGGAUUUGACAGUGAUUUCUUCAAAUAAUCAAGAUCGUUAAGCAUAUCUUUCAAUUCCAUCUCCUUUGCUGCUGCUAAUUACUUUCUUGCUCUUUAGCGCUUGCAGUAUCUUUUGGCGUGUGGCUUUUAAAAAGGUAAGGUCAUAGUGAUUUUGGCUAGUUUAAAAGCCAAAAACACAAUUGAAGAAUCCAAAGAAAAAAAAAUCAAAAUCACAUGUAAAUCACUCGAUUUUUUAUAGGUGUUUUUUUUUUGGGUUGACCCGGGUUAACCCGGAUCAACCCAUCUGACCCGUGACCCGAUCACUUAACCGAGUCGAUAACCGGAUCGAGUUUCAAAAAUAUGAAAAAAAGAGGUUAAAAUAUGAAUGGAGAAGCCCAGGAGUUG
rnacentral:lncRNA from 1 species